CCUACGGGAGGCAGCAGUAGGGAAUCUUCCGCAAUGGACGAAAGUCUGACGGAGCAACGCCGCGUGAGCGAUGAAGGCCUUCGGGUCGUAAAGCUCUGUUGUUAGGGAAGAACAAGUAUCGUUCGAAUAGGGCGGUACCUUGACGGUACCUAACCAGAAAGCCACGGCUAACUACGUGCCAGCAGCCGCGGUAAUACGUAGGUGGCAAGCGUUAUCCGGAAUUAUUGGGCGUAAAGCGCGCGCAGGCGGUCCUUUAAGUCUGAUGUGAAAGCCCACGGCUCAACCGUGGAGGGUCAUUGGAAACUGGGGGACUUGAGUGCAGAAGAGGAGAGCGGAAUUCCACGUGUAGCGGUGAAAUGCGUAGAGAUGUGGAGGAACACCAGUGGCGAAGGCGGCUCUCUGGUCUGUAACUGACGCUGAGGCGCGAAAGCGUGGGGAGCGAACAGGAUUAGAUACCCUAGUAGUCCACGCCGUAAACGAUGAGUGCUAAGUGUUAGAGGGUUUCCGCCCUUUAGUGCUGCAGCAAACGCAUUAAGCACUCCGCCCUGGGGAGUACGGUCGCAAGACUGAAACUCAAAUGAAUUGACGGGG
rnacentral:rRNA from 1 species